GCCGCGGGAGGAGGAAAUUCCCUACAAAAUAGCAAUGGUUCCGAGAAAAGGAUCACAACAAAAUAUUGAAUAAAUUCCCUUUUAAUUUAUUUGAUCAUUCCACAUUACGGGGCUAUGAAUUGCUCAAAUUUGAUAACAAGUACUCAAUUCAACUCAUUAUAUUUCUGAGUGCAUAAAAAUGGACCCAAACUAUCUUCUGGUGAAGAAUCGAGAGCUGGCUCUGCAGUUGAGUGCUCGGUGAAGCUGCUGUGUUUGGGAACAUCACUUUUGCCAGGACGGACUUUCCUAGCUGUGUGCAGGCGGGUAAUGGGAGCGUCUAACAGGCCAUAAAUGCUUAAGUGCUUUGUUUCGCAGGCAUUUUCAGUAAAGGUCAGAAUAAAUUCAUCUUCCCUUAAUGCAGUAUUUAUGUUUGUGCACGGUUUGGAAUAAAAUCACCAUUAAAAAUCC
rnacentral:lncRNA from 1 species